CAGAAUCGCCCCGCCCUAGGAGCGGGCCGGGCAGGUGGCCCGCAGCAGGGCCUGUCGUCCAGCCGGCCUCGCGGGGGUGGAAUUCUUAAGAAAACUGAGCCCCCGGAAAGGCUGGCUCUCCCUGCCCCAGACUCAAUUCCAGGGAGAUGACCCGGGCCAGGCCUCGGGGCUGGCGGGAGGCAGGGGGAGGGUUUGGCGCACCCGGUCUAGGAAACUAUUCGUGAACCCCGCUGGGGGAAGGCGAGCCUCCGACACUGGGGGGAUUGUCUGGAUCGGAGGGCGGGGGGUCAGGGAGACGCGCAGACACAGGGCGAGACCCCCACGGAGGGCAGCGCAGAGACACAGAGAGGGAGAGAAAAGCGAGAGGCAGAGACACAAACGCGGGCAGCCGAACACGGAGGCAGACAGGGAACGGAGGACUUCUACAACCAGAUAGGAUUUGGGUUUUAUCCAUGAAGUCUGCUUCCAUGGGGAGAAGAGGAAGUCGCGUCUGGAACAGUGGCAAGUCUAACUUCUGUGGUCCUGGAAAUACAAAAUAAGUGCCACUUCUGUCCUUGGGCACCAGCCUCCAAUGUUCCUGUCACUUAAACCCCACAGUAACUAAUCAUCAAGUAAGGAAGACUGCUACACAUGAAGCCCUGAGGAAGCCUGCCGCCCUCUUCCCUCUGGAGGUGUGGGUAAGAAGUUUCCAGCUUGUGUGCAGCAUUAAAAAUCCACCUGAAGGCCACGCGCGGUGG